rnacentral:rRNA from 1 species
UACGGAGGGUGCAAGCGUUAUCCGGAUUCACUGGGUUUAAAGGGUGCGUAGGCGGACAGGUAAGUCAGUGGUGAAAUCUCUGGGCUUAACCCCAGAAACUGCCGUUGAUACUAUUUGUCUUGAAUAUCCUGGAGGUAGGGCGGAAUAAUGUCAUGUAGCGGUGGAAAAUGCUUAGAUAAUGACAUAGAACACCGAUAAGCG